GUACCUUCUAUAGGAACGCGGCAUUCCUCUUUUAAUUGCAUGAAGCAGCGUGCGAUAUUAAGAACGUCUAAUUAGAGAUGGCGCAACAUUCAUUAACGAGCUCUUGCAUAGGUCUUCCAGCCCUAGGAACUGUCUUAUCUUGGCGAAUAAGCUUCCAAUGAGGUUACAAAUACGAUUCGGUAUCAUGCGCUACGUACUUUUUACGAACAAACUAUAAGCCAGGAAGAUUACUUGACAUCUACCGUGAAUGCUAUUCAUGAUACAUCAGGCAGGAGGUAUUAUAUGUAUCUUCGAAUAAAAUGCAGCGGCGUUAUAUUGAACAAUAGAUGUCUCUUCGAACGUGAAAAAUCCCGAUGAAAACAAUUUUUGAAUUUAAUUAAGUGCCAGUUUUACAUCAGAUAUGAAGCUUCUUGACAUGCUUCUACAGUAACCCAACGUUCCGUCUAUUCGAAAAUUAUAUUCUAAAUAAGAAUUUUCUAUAAAUCGACGUUAUUUCCAUCUAUUUUAUAUCAGAGAUAAUUUCUUGUAAUUUAAAUAAAGAAUUUAUCGAAUCAUCUAUCACAAAGUUAUUUUAUUAAUAUUACAUUUUGAAA